rnacentral:lncRNA from 1 species
GUGAUACGAAUCAAUCAACAAACAUAACAACUUCAGGAUCACAAGUUUAGUGUCAUGCUUCAGAUAACCAACAUUCACUAAUCGAAAUACUUGAGAGUCAAUAGUUUAGGCUCAACAAAAGAUAGAUACUGGCUAGUUCUACAGCGGAAGUCAAAAUAAGGAGUUGAACUCUAGCCUCAGCUCUGCCCCGUCAUCACCUGCCUGUCAACCUGAAAAACAUUUGAAAGCAUUUUUGGGCUAAGUACUAAUGUACUUAGUGGGCUGCAACUUUAAAACAUUUCGUAAUCUGAAGAACAGUUUAUCCAAUCAUACUUGACAUGACUUAGAAGGUUUUAAAGUGAAAGAACUUCUAAGCAUGUUAAAACAUUUCAAUUAUAUAGAUACAUAUAUAUAUACUUAUUUUGCGCGCAGAUGUCACACUCAUUUCUGUUACUCGCUGUGAUCCCGGACCUUUUAUCCACUGCGGAUCCAUUUCUCCCAUUUACUUGAACUGAGGGCGUAACCCAGACAAGUUUACUUUUGACCUCGGGACGCUACCCAGGCAGGCCCUUUCAUUCUAUGCUUCGGAACACAUCCAGCAAGCAUCCUUAUAACGCCUCUUAGUUAGUGCCCGAAUGGAGAUCAACCCACCGAGUCAGCUAACGGUGUACAUAAUUCUCAAAUAACGUGUUAGGCUAUAAGAGAACCUCAAUUGAUUCGUUGUGGCGAGCAUUAAACAGAGCAGAGUGAACAUAAACAUUUUAUUGGAUAAACAGUUUAUAUAUUAACGAACAUUUAAGCUCAUUAGCUCAAUCAUACAUUUGGAAAAUAAGCCCACCUGUUUAGGCAAUGCCUG